rnacentral:rRNA from 1 species
AUUGAACGCUGGCGGCAGGCCUAACACAUGCAAGUCGAGCGGAGCGGCGGACGGGUGAGUAAUGCCUAGGAAUCUGCCUGGUAGUGGGGGAUACCGUCCGGAACCGGGCGCUAAUACCGCAUACUAUCAGAUGAGCCUAGGUCGGAUUCCCUAGUGGGUGGGGUAAAGGCCUACCAAGGCGACGAUCCGUAACUGGUCUGAGAGGAUGAUCAGUCAAACUGGAACGGAGACACGGUCCAGACUCCUACGGGAGGCAGCAGUGGGGAAUAUUGGACAAUGGGCGAAAGCGUGAUCCAGCCAUGACGCGUGGGUGAAGAAGGUCGUCGGAUAGUAAAGCACUUUAAGUUGGGAGGCGGUACCAACAGAAUAAGCACCGGAUAACGACGUGCCAGCAGCCGCGGUAAUUC